rnacentral:SRP_RNA from 1 species
GCCAGGCAUGGUGUCACAUGCCUGUAAUCCCAGCUACUCGGGAGGCUGAGGCAGGAGAAUCGCUUGAACCCGGGAGGUGGAGGCUGCAGUGAGCUGAGAUCGCACCACUGCACUCCAGCCUGGGUGACAGAGUGAGAUUCUGCCUCAA